rnacentral:rRNA from 1 species
CAGUCGCCACGGUAAUACGUAGGAGGCAAGCGUUGUCCGGAAUUAUUGGGCGUAAAGGGCUCGCAGGCGGUUUCUUAAGUCUGAUGUGAAAGCCCACGGCUCAGCCGUGGAGGGUCAUUGGAAACUGUUAAACUUGAGUGCAGGAGAGAAAAGUGGAAUUCCUAGUGUAGCGGUGAAAUGCGUAGAGAUUAGGAGGAACACCAGUGGCGAAGGCGGCUUUUUGGCCUGUAACUGACACUGAGGCGCGAAAGCGUGGGGAGCAAACAGGAUUAGAUACCCGUGUAGUCCCUGUCUCUUAUAC